GACGAACGCUGGCGGCGUGCUUAACACAUGCAAGUCGAACGGAAAGGCCCUGCUUUUGUGGGGUGCUCGAGUGGCGAACGGGUGAGUAACACGUGAGUAACCUGCCCUUGACUUUGGGAUAACUUCAGGAAACUGGGGCUAAUACCGGAUAGGAGCUCCUGCUGCAUGGUGGGGGUUGGAAAGUUUCGGCGGUUGGGGAGGGACUCGCGGCUUAUCAGCUUGUUGGUGGGGUAGUGGCUUACCAAGGCUUUGACGGGUAGCCGGCCUGAGAGGGUGACCGGCCACAUUGGGACUGAGAUACGGCCCAGACUCCUACGGGAGGCAGCAGUGGGGAAUAUUGCACAAUGGGCGGAAGCCUGAUGCAGCAACGCCGCGUGCGGGAUGCCGGCCUUCGGGUUGUAAACCGCUUUCGCCUGUGACGAAGCGUGAGUGACGGUAAUGGGUAAAGAAGCACCGGCUAACUACGUG
rnacentral:rRNA from 1 species